GCGGGAGUAGCUCAACGGAAGAGCGGCGGCAUCAUGAGCCGCAGGUUGAGGGUUCGAAUCCCCCUUCCCGUU
rnacentral:tRNA from 1 species